rnacentral:rRNA from 1 species
GGCGAACGCUGGCGGCGUGCUUAACACAUGCAAGUCGAACGGAAAGGCCCUUCGGGGUACUCGAGUGGCGAACGGGUGAGUAACACGUGGGUGAUCUGCCCUGCACUUUGGGAUAAGCCUGGGAAACUGGGUCUAAUACCGAAUAGGACCACGCGCUUCAUGGUGUGUGGUGGAAAGCUUUUGCGGUGUGGGAUGGGCCCGCGGCCUAUCAGCUUGUUGGUGGGGUAAUGGCCUACCAAGGCGACGACGGGUAGCCGGCCUGAGAGGGUGACCGGCCACACUGGGACUGAGAUACGGCCCAGACUCCUACGGGAGGCAGCAGUGGGGAAUAUUGCACAAUGGGCGCAAGCCUGAUGCAGCGACGCCGCGUGAGGGAUGACGGCCUUCGGGUUGUAAACCUCUUUCAAUAGGGACGAAGCGCAAGUGACGGUACCUAUAGAAGAAGCACCGGCCAACUACGUGCCAGCAGCCGCGGUAAUACGUAGGGUGCGAGCGUUGUCCGGAAUUACUGGGCGUAAAGAGCUCGUAGGUGGUUUGUCGCGUUGUUCGUGAAAACUCACAGCUUAACUGUGGGCGUGCGGGCGAUACGGGCAGACUAGAGUACUGCAGGGGAGACUGGAAUUCCUGGUGUAGCGGUGGAAUGCGCAGAUAUCAGGAGGAACACCGGUGGCGAAGGCGGGUCUCUGGGCAGUAACUGACGCUGAGGAGCGAAAGCGUGGGGAGCGAACAGGAUUAGAUACCCUGGUAGUCCACGCCGUAAACGGUGGGUACUAGGUGUGGGUUCCUUCCUUGGGAUCCGUGCCGUAGCUAACGCAUUAAGUACCCCGCCUGGGGAGUACGGCCGCAAGGCUAAAACUCAAAGGAAUUGACGGGGGCCCGCACAAGCGGCGGAGCAUGUGGAUUAAUUCGAUGCAACGCGAAGAACCUUACCUGGGUUUGACAUGCACAGGACGCCGGCAGAGAUGUCGGUUCCCUUGUGGCCUGUGUGCAGGUGGUGCAUGGCUGUCGUCAGCUCGUGUCGUGAGAUGUUGGGUUAAGUCCCGCAACGAGCGCAACCCUUGUCCUAUGUUGCCAGCGGGUUAUGCCGGGGACUCGUAGGAGACUGCCGGGGUCAACUCGGAGGAAGGUGGGGAUGACGUCAAGUCAUCAUGCCCCUUAUGUCCAGGGCUUCACACAUGCUACAAUGGCCGGUACAAAGGGCUGCGAUGCCGUGAGGUGGAGCGAAUCCUUUCAAAGCCGGUCUCAGUUCGGAUCGGGGUCUGCAACUCGACCCCGUGAAGUCGGAGUCGCUAGUAAUCGCAGAUCAGCAACGCUGCGGUGAAUACGUUCCCGGGCCU